ensembl:lncRNA
AUGCCUACAGUCUUAUCAUUUCAGGGUCAUUUGUGGAACAGUGUUUGCCUCCUUCCAGACCAGACCACAGACCGACAGACCAGACCACAGACAGACAGACCUCCUUCCAGACCAGACCACAGACAGACAGACCUCCUUCCAGACCACAGACAGACAGACCUCCUUCCAGACCAGACCGACAGAACUCCAGUCCAGACCAGACAGACCGACAGAACUCCAGUCCAGACCAGACAGACCUCCAGUCCAGACCAGACAGACAGACAGACAGACCUCCAGUCCAGACCAGACAGACAGACAGACCUCCAGUCCAGACCAGACAGACAGACAGACCUCCAGUCCAGACCAGACAGACCGACAGAACUCCAGUCCAGACCAGACAGACCGACAGAACUCCAGUCCAGACCAGACAGACAGACAGACAGAACUCCAGUCCAGACCAGACAGACAGACAGACAGACAGAACUCCAGUCCAGUCCAGACCAGACAGACACAGACAGACAGAACUCCAGUCCAGUCCAGACCAGACAGACAGACAGAACUCCAGUCCAGACCAGACAGACAGACAGACAGAACUCCAGUCCAGACCAGACAGACAGACAGAACUCCAGUCCAGACCAGACAGACAGACAGAACUCCAGUCCAGACCAGACCAGACAGACAGAACUCCAGUCCAGACCAGACCAGACAGACAGACAGACAGAACUCCAGUACAGACCAGACAGACAGACAGAACUCCAGUCCAGACCAGACAGACAGACAGACAGACAGAACUCCAGUCCAGACCAGACAGACAGACAGACAGAACUCCAGUCCAGACCAGACAGACAGACAGACAGAACUCCAGUCCAGACCAGACAGACAGACAGAACUCCAGUCCAGACCAGACAGACAGACAGAACUCCAGUCCAGACCAGACAGACAGACAGAACUCCAGUCCAGACCAGACAGACAGAACUCCAGACCAGACCAGAGAGACAGAACUCCAGACCAGACAGAACUCCAGACCAGACAGAACUCCAGACCUCCUUCCAGACAGAACUCCAGACCUCCUUCCAGACAGAACUCCAGACCUCCUUCCAGACAGAACUCCAGACCAGACAGAACUCCAGACCUCCUUCCAGACAGAACUCCAGACCUCCUUCCAGACAGAACUCCAGACCUCCUUCCAGACAGAACUCCAGACCAGACAGAACUCCAGACCUCCUUCCAGACAGAACUCCAGACCUCCAGACCAGACAGAACUCCAGACCUCCAGACCAGACAGAACUCCAGACCUCCAGACCAGACAGAACUCCAGACCUCCAGACCAGACAGAACUCCAGACCUCCAGACCAGACAGAACUCCAGACCUCCAGACCAGACAGAACUCCAGACCUCCAGACCAGACAGAACUCCAGACCUCCAGACCAGACAGAACUCCAGACCUCCAGACCAGACAGAACUCCAGACCUCCAGACCAGACAGAACUCCAGACCUCCAGACCAGACAGAACUCCAGACCUCCAGACCAGACAGAACUCCAGAACUCCAGACCAGACAGAACUCCAGACCUCCAGACCAGACAGAACUCCAGACCUCCAGACCAGACAGAACUCCAGAACUCCAGACCAGACAGAACUCCAGACCAGACAGAACUCCAGACCAGACAGAACUCCAGACCAGACAGAACUCCAGACAGAACUCCAGACCAGACAGAACUCCAGACAGAACUCCAGACCAGACAGAACUCCAGACAGAACUCCAGACCAGACAGAACUCCAGACCUCCUUCCAGACAGAACUCCAGACCUCCUUCCAGACAGAACUCCAGACCUCCUUCCAGACAGAACUCCAGACCUCCUUCCAGACAGAACUCCAGACCUCCAGACAGAACUCCAGACCUCCAGACAGAACUCCAGACCUCCAGACAGAACUCCAGACCUCCAGACCAGACAGACCUCCAGACCAGACAGACCUCCAGACCAGACAGACCUCCAGACCAGACAGACCAGACAGACCUCCAGACCAGACAGACCUCCAGACCAGACCUUUUAGAUCAUUUAACGACAUGGUGUUUUACAGCCAAACCCCUGCUCUCUCCUAAUCACCCAUCUGAACAUCAAACAGCAGAACAGAGUGGUGUUUUACAGCCAAACCCCUGCUCUCUCCUAAUCACCCAUCUGAGAGGGAGGGACAAAACCACAUCUGAGACUGACUGA